AGUGAACGCUGGCGGUAGGCCUAACACAUGCAAGUCGAACGGCAGCACAGUAAGAGCUUGCUCUUACGGGUGGCGAGUGGCGGACGGGUGAGGAAUACAUCGGAAUCUACUUUUUCGUGGGGGAUAACGUAGGGAAACUUACGCUAAUACCGCAUACGACCUACGGGUGAAAGCAGGGGAUCUUCGGACCUUGCGCGAUUGAAUGAGCCGAUGUCGGAUUAGCUAGUUGGCGGGGUAAAGGCCCACCAGGGCGACGAUCCGUAGCUGGUCUGAGAGGAUGAUCAGCCACACUGGAACUGAGACACGGUCCAGACUCCUACGGGAGGCAGCAGUGGGGAAUAUUGGACAAUGGGCGCAAGCCUGAUCCAGCCAUACCGCGUGGGUGAAGAAGGCCUUCGGGUUGUAAGGCCCUUUUGUUGGGAAAGAAAAGCAGCAGGUUAAUACCCCGCUGUUCUGACGGUACCCAAAGAAUAAGCACCGGCUAACUUCGUG
rnacentral:rRNA from 1 species